rnacentral:rRNA from 1 species
UACGGGGGGGGCAAGCGUUGUUCGGAAUUACUGGGCGUAAAGGGCUCGUAGGCGGCCAACUAAGUCAGACGUGAAAUCCCUCGGCUUAACCGGGGAACUGCGUCUGAUACUGGAUGGCUUGAGAUUGGGAGAGGGAUGCGGAAUUCCAGGUGUAGCGGUGAAAUGCGUAGAUAUCUGGAGGAACACCGGUGGCGAAGGCGGCAUCCUGGACCAACACUGACGCUGAGGAGCGAAAGCCAGGGGAGCAAACGG